GGGGAGCCCGUGGGGAGCGCUAGAGGCGGCGGAAGCCAGCCCCACCUCUGAGCCGCACAGCACAGCGGCCCCAGCUGGGGACCGCCCUCCCCUGGACGCACCUGCCCCGGAGGAGGAGACCCCACCCUCUGGGGGACCCGUCUGCACUUGCCAUGGGCCCACUCCCCCACACCCACCGCAGCGGGAGCGGGAGGAGACCGUCCAGAGCUGCAGAGCACUGAGCGCACGGGAGGUGCCUGUGGCGGGCACCUGUCGCUCUGCUCUGCUCUGCGUGCUCGCUGGCCCUGUCUUAGCGGCCACCCCAUCCUCUUUCCCUUGGUUCCGCCGGGGUUCCGUGGUCGGGGCUGCCCUGGAGCACCUUGGCCCUAUGCCCUGGAGCGGGGUGUGGCCACCCGCGCUGGGGUGGGCCCACAGAAUCCUAAGGGGCCCCGGACUAAGAGGUGCUGGGACUCCCUCGCUGGCUCCCGUGAGCGGCAGCCCCACCCACCCUGAGGGGCCGGGUGCCCCCCUUUCCUCACCCCAGUCCCCUUCCAGCCUCUUUUGGGGGGAUGGGGGGCGGCGGGCGAUGGGGCAGAAGGGCGACAGGCAGGGCCAGGUGCAGAGGUGUGGCUGGGGCCGGCUGGAGGCUGGCUGUGGGGUGGGGCUGGUCAGCUUCCCCCUGCCCUGCGCUGCCUGGACUCAGAGCGGACGGGACCCCAAGGAUGGGGGGCGGGGGGCGUGCUGCUCCCCACUGGGGUGGCCAGCGGUCCCGUCCCUACACUUCGAAGAUGAGAUGGGGCCAGCCUGCGGUCGCCGUGUGGCGGGGACCGCUCCUCUGCUCCUGGCGCCCCGCCUGGCAGGCAAGGCCUGGGCGCUGGUGCGGGUGCGGCGGGGCUGGGCCACCAUCCCCGCUGGCUCCGGGCAGGUGACCAGGCCUCCACACCCUGUGUGUGAGCCCGGUGGCGGGCCCGGGCCUUGCCCCUCCCUGUCUCCUCCUAGCACCUGGCGGCCGGGGUGUCCUGCCGGGACUCUGCCAGUGCACCGGGUCCCAGCCCGCUUGCCGCUCGUAGGACAGAGUCCCGGUGCCAUGCGCCCGUCCUACCCCAGAGCCCUCUGCAGGGAUGGAGCCCCAGUCCUGCUCCCUUCUGCCCCCUGCCUGGGCAGGGCCGGGUCUGUCCUGUAGCCUCCGUGCGCAGAGCCUUCCCCCCCGGGGCUUGUUCCCCACCCCCAGGCUGGCAUCUUUCGCCCUUGCUUCCCUGCGUCUGUCACAGCUGCCUGGACAGGAUGUGGCAUCCAGGGAGGGACAGGGGCUCCUCCUCAGCUCAGCCCAGCUCUGGAGCUGUCCUGUGGGGACCCUGGCCAGCAUGCCCCGCAGAAGUGGUGGGGCCUGACUUUAUUCACCUGCGUGCGGCCUGCCUUGAGAGGGCGGUGUCGCCCGGGACUGGCCACCGGGCGCCUAGGGUGGCAGGGCCGCCGCCAGUUUCCAGAACAGUGAGGAGGUAGUGCGACUUUUCUGCAGUUCAGGGAGUGUCUGUUCUCACUCUAUUUUGCCGAUCGUGUCUGCCGCUGCACUGCUGGCCACAUCCUGGUUCUCUCCUCCCUUCCUGGCUGCAGUUCUUUUUUCAUCAGACAGUAUCAGAACUGUGCCCUCUGCUCUGGGCUUCUGCUGUUCCCGGACAUGCUUCCAGAUAGAGCAUGGCCAGCGAGCCUGGAGCGGCCAGUAAUGGGAGGCCUGCAAGGAACCCUUGCAAGAAAGCCAGCACCAGCCUCAGGAGAAUGGAAGCAGAACUUUAUUCUUCUUGGCUAGGGAAGAGAACUAGCGGGUGGUCGUGCAUAGUACCCCCCCACCCCUCCCAGAACCAAAGAAGACAGGCGGAGCCACCAAAGGGCUACCUCUGCUCGCCUCUCUCCUUUGCCCAUGUGGAGGCAGGUGAGUGCAACGCAGGGCUGGGGUGGCUGCAGUGAUGGGGCGGCCAGGGCCGGCCGGGGCUCCGGGGCCAAGGAGACCGGGGGGCUGCUCAGGUUGGGGGGAUGGGCGUGGGAGCACUUCUCAUCCUGGGAGCUGCCAGCUGGCACAGGCACAGAGCUCAGGGUACCAGGACACGGUAGGGGCUGCCUGGGAUGUGCUCGUCACCCCACUUGACCACCAGCGUGUACUCUCCCUUGUCCUUG